rnacentral:rRNA from 1 species
GACGAACGCUGGCGGCGUGCCUAAUACAUGCAAGUAGAACGCACAGUUUAUACCGUAGCUUGCUACACCAUAAACUGUGAGUUGCGAACGGGUGAGUAACGCGUAGGUAACCUGCCUGGUAGCGGGGGAUAACUAUUGGAAACGAUAGCUAAUACCGCAUAAUAUUGAUUAUUGCAUGAUAAUUGAUUGAAAGAUGCUAUUGCAUCACUACCAGAUGGACCUGCGUUGUAUUAGCUAGUAGGUGAGGUAACGGCUCACCUAGGCGACGGUACAUAGCCGACCUGAGAGGGUGAUCGGCCCCCCUGGGAAUGAGACACGGGCCAGACUCCUACGGGAGGCAGCAGUAGGGAAUCUUCGGCAAUGGACGAAAGUCUGACCGAGCAACGCCGCGUGAGUGAAGAAGGUUUUCGGAUCGUAAAGCUCUGUUGUAAGAGAAGAACGGGUGUGAGAGUGGAAAGUUCACACUGUGACGGUAUCUUACCAGAAAGAGACGGCUAACUACGUG